rnacentral:lncRNA from 1 species
CCUGGGACUUUGGACAAGUAAGCACACUAGAAUUCUGAGAAAUGUUUCUUUCCUCCCAUCUUUUGCUUUCUCAAAAGGUGCUUUCAGUUGUAAGCUGCGACGUGACACGCCAGCUCUCUUCCACACUCACAUAUGAGGAACCCAGCCAGCUGGUAGCUACCUACAUUUUACAGACACCGUACACAUUCAACCACAAGGAAGCCCUUUGCGAAAGCCUACUUUUAAUUUUACCACAGCGAGGACAAGAUAGCACCAGUGUCCUUGAGCUGCACCACUCUAUGGAUGCCCAGGGUAAGAAACCACGCAGUGCUGACAAGAAACUGGGCAGCAGAGGCAAGGCUGUAGCUGAUGCUAUUCUGCACACAGUGGAUGGCGACAGGACA